CCUCGUUGAUCUGCUGCGGACUAAUGAAGUGGAUGUGGCAGUCGAUGCCGCCGGCCGUCAGGAUCUGGCCUUCGCCGGCUACCACUUCGGUCGUCACGCCCACCACCAUGCCGGGCGUCACGCCGGGCAUAAUGUGUGGGUUACCGCCUUUCCCAAUCCCGCUGAUACGGCCGUUUUUGAUGCCAAUAUCGGCUUUGUAAAUACCAGUGUAGUCAAUUACCAACGCAUUCGUGAUGAGCAUAUCCAGCGCAUCGGCCUGCGAUACCCCGGCCGCCUGGCCCAUGCCGUCGCGCAGG
rnacentral:sRNA from 1 species